rnacentral:rRNA from 1 species
CCUACGGGGGGCUGCAGUGGGGAAUAUUGGACAAUGGGGGCAACCCUGAUCCAGCCAUGCCGCGUGUGUGAAGAAGGCCCUCGGGUUGUAAAGCACUUCCAGUGAGGAAGAACGCCUGGUGGUUAAUACCCAUCAGGAAAGACAUCACUCACAGAAGAAGCACCGGCUAACUCCGUGCCAGCAGCCGCGGUAAUACGGAGGGUGCGAGCGUUAAUCGGAAUUACUGGGCGUAAAGCGCGCGUAGGUGGCUUGAUAAGCCGGUUGUGAAAGCCCCGGGCUCAACCUGGGAACGGCAUCCGGAACUGUCAAGCUAGAGUGCAGGAGAGGAAGGUAGAAUUCCCGGUGUAGCGGUGAAAUGCGUAGAGAUCGGGAGGAAUACCAGUGGCGAAGGCGGCCUUCUGGACUGACACUGACACUGAGGUGCGAAAGCGUGGGUAGCAAACAGGAUUAGAUACCCUUGUAGUC